AAGAACAAAAUCUAAAUUAAAAACUGUAUUUUAUAUUUACUUGUUUUGAGGUGCUAGGAUUCAGUCACAGCUUCCCUCACAGUAUGAGCAAGGCCCUGUCACUGAGCUCCGCCCCUUUUCUAAAAUCUAAAGCAUUUGCUCUUGGGUCAUUCCUAAAAGUUUUGCUGACCCUUGAACUGCACAGUGGAGAGAAUUGCUGGGCACAAUGGAAAGCAGGAAAAGCCCAGCCAGGGUGAUCUGUGGGAGCCCCACUGUCCCCUCCCUCAGGAACUGAGAUGACACCAAACAAGCCUUCUUGAGAGCGAUUGGAGUAGACACACUGUAUGUGCUGUUCAGAGGCCCAGAGGGGGGACAACUCACAAGCUGGCAGGUCCCUGCCUUUCUCACUGGAGCCUGGAAAUAUGGAGGCAAGAACUUGGAAGAAUGGGACGGUGUUUCCUGUUAAGUCCCCCUGCACAUUACUCAUUGUGAGAAAAUCUAGAAGCUUCCUCAUCUUCUAGAACCCUCCUCCGAAAGAACUCCCUUCCUGCUGCACAGGGGUAGGAAAAGAGCUCGCCUUGCCUCGAUCUACAGCAUGCGUGGAACAAGAAAAGAAUCUACCAUUGCAAUCACAGGCCUGCUUCAUCGUGAUGUCAAACACUUGGUCAUCUCUGUCUACAAGAGAACGAGGCUGGGUGACAUCACAGAGGCCCCGCCCAGCCCCUUUUACAAGAAGCCUCCAGGUGAGCCUGUAGGCCAACGCUCUUUUGUUCUGGGCACCAGAGGCCCACGUCAAACCCAUGCUCUGCCUGUUCCCUCUGAGAGGGAAAAGGAGAAGGUCACAUGUCAUCUGAGCCUCACGCCUCAAAAUCCUACCCAAUCCUGAAUGCUCCUUCGCUGCCAAGCAGCUCUGGACUUGGAGAACCCUGGGAAGCUGCAGGGCUUUGGGCCAGGCAUGGGGGAAAUCCUUUCAUUCUUUACUUCUUCUCUUCUUCUGGACAUGACCCAUUAAAACAAAACCCCAGCGCAGUGGGUAUGUGUUUACCGAUGCUAUUUUUAAAGCCCUCUAGGGAAGUGGUUUGCUAGCACUCUAGGGCGGGCUGUGAGCAGAAGUGAUUUCACGUGUCCUGGGCUGGGAACAAAGGGGCGGCUUGGGCCUGUUCUCACCGCGCCCACCUGCGGCACUGAACAAGCACCUCAGACUGUAAUUACCUCUGCCAGUAGAGCUUGUUUCAGAAACAUGUGGCUUCCCCCACAGUGGGAUAACUGCCAGGCCCAAGUUUCUGGGGACUGACCCUGAACAGCUCGGGCUGCUUCUCCAGCACUCGAUGAGUUAUGUGAGUCACGGUCCAAUUAAAAACUGGGCAAGGAAAAGAAUGAAAGGAAGAGACAAGAAAGCCAUGUAAGGAUGCCAGGCGGGCAAGCAGUUAAACAUCCUGACUCUAAAAAGAUGCCAACACAAAAUCUCAAUUUAUAAAAGUUGAAUGGCCUAGAAGGGAGGCAGUUCUACCCAUUGUAAUACAUGAAUGGUUUCAUUUCACAUAAAAAAAAAAAAAGAAAGAAAGAAAGAAGGAAAAAGAAAAAAAAAUUCAUCAAAAGUUUCUUUCCGUUUGGUUUCUCCUCCAGUGAUUUUGAAAUAGGACUAAGUUGUCAAAAACCUGAUUUACAUACAACGUUUUCGGCUCUUGUCUGGCGUAGAACAGGCUAUAACUGGAUUCUGAAACUAGCAGCUUAAGCACAGAAAACACCAAAUGCUUUUGUAGCUGAAGAUAAUAAUGAGUGCUCAUUUGGCAUGAAAUAUAAACAACUCAUUAAAGGACUUCCAAUAUCUUUUUAAAAAAUAAAGAAAACAAUACAGUCCAGGAGACAACAUGGUAACUCUGAGUUUCUGGUCACCAGGCAACCUCUACAGAGCACAAGCCGGUGGGAAUGGAGUCCCUGGCUCCUCCUUCUUUGGUCACAGAGCAAGUUGAAGAGUGGGGCCUGGGGGUCACCAUGGCUUCCCAUCUGGUUGAUCUUAGAUAUGAAGUCACAUUAUUGAGAAAUUAUUGACAUCUUUGGGACUGGAGAAAAGGCUUAGCAGCUAAGAGCACUUUCUGCUCUUGCAGAGGACCUGG